rnacentral:misc_RNA from 1 species
CGCCCCUCAAGUCCCCCGUGGACUUGGUGUUGGGGAUCGGCGAGCGCUGUCUUUUCAGCACGCCGUCCCCCAAAUUUAUUGGCGGUCUCGCCGUGGCCAUCCUCUGCGCAGUAGUAAAACACUCGCAACGGGAGCCCGGUGAGGUCCACUGCCGUAAAACCCCCAACUUUUUACAG